GAUGAACGCUGGCGGCGUGCCUAAUACAUGCAAGUCGAGCGAAUGGAUUAAGAGCUUGCUCUUAUGAAGUUAGCGGCGGACGGGUGAGUAACACGUGGGUAACCUGCCCAUAAGACUGGGAUAACUCCGGGAAACCGGGGCUAAUACCGGAUAACAUUUUGAACCGCAUGGUUCGAAAUUGAAAGGCGGCUUCGGCUGUCACUUAUGGAUGGACCCGCGUCGCAUUAGCUAGUUGGUGAGGUAACGGCUCACCAAGGCAACGAUGCGUAGCCGACCUGGGAGGGUGAUCGGCCACACUGGGACUGAGACAUGGCCCAGACUCCUACGGGAGGCAGCAGUAGGGAAUCUUCCGCAAUGGACGAAAGUCUGACGGAGCAACGCCGCGUGAGUGAUGAAGGCUUUCGGGUCGUAAAACUCUGUUGUUAGGGAAGAACAAGCGCUAGUUGAGUAAGCUGGCACCUUGACGGUACCUAACCAGAAAGCCACGGCUAACUACGUGCCAGCCGCCGCCGUAA
rnacentral:rRNA from 1 species